UUAUGGCAGGAAGAGGACCUAGGUGAGAGCUAAAGGAGCCUGUGGCUGGCUGAAGGGAGAAGGGAUGCACAGGGGACUCGCUUGUUCCAGCCAUCUGAGCAAUCUCACGCUUGGUUAGCUCUGCAAGUGGCACUACUUCGGAGCUGGCCCGUCGUGGCCCCAUAGCUAACCUAACCACGGUAUCUGAGACUCCAAUUCCAGGCUGUGAGGCCUGGAUAGACUUGGAGAGCACUGGGGAAGAGGAGAACAUCACCGUAUGAGCCUCUGCCACUCCCACUGAGGCAGGAGUGAGCACUGAGUCCCGGCCAACCCCUGCAGACAGCUAGAGCUUCACCUCUGUCUCCAGGAAGCAUCAUCUCUGGGCCCCUGUAUGAUGGCCUGCACUUGAGAAUUCAGGCUGGACAGGACAGGCUAGGAUUGCCCUCUCCAGCCUCCAGGACUGAGACCUUAGCAUUCCAGAGCCAAGACCCCCAGCUGUGUUUUGGAGGCAGAGGAAAUUCAAUCUGACACAUGGAGGACUGAGGGCCAUCAGUUCAAGCAGUGCCUGCUGCAGGAUUUGGAAUCGGAGCAUACAAGACGAAUCCAUAAGUAGGGGAAGCAGCCGGAAGGGGCUGGCCCGCUGUCCUCAGCUAGCAAGAGCACCUCUCUGGGAAGCAGCAGCCUGCACAGAACUAGGGUGCCCACAGCGGCUUCAGAGGGUUGAUGCAUUUUGAACAUGUGACACAUUCACAGCCUUCAAGACUCAAGAGGUACAAAGGGGUCCACGGGGAAAGUCUCCCUCCCACCCUACCUCGCAGCUCUCCAGCUCCUCCCUAGGAGUAGCCAGUUCCUUGUACACCCAUCCAGGAGGCUUUAUCCUCAUGCAAGCAAAUGUGGAUGUGUGUUUGUUUCUUCCUUUCUCAAGAAAAUAGCGGCUACGUCACACAUUA
rnacentral:lncRNA from 1 species